rnacentral:tRNA from 1 species
UCCCUGGUGGUCUAGUGGUUAAGGAUUCAGUGCUCGCACCGCUGUGGCUGGAUUCGAUUCCUGGUCAGGGAA